GACAGAGGUGCCGAGCGUUAGGCGGAAUCACUGGGCUUAAAGCGUGUGUAGGCGGGCCGUUAAGUAUCUUGUGAAAUCCCCCGGCUCAACCGGGGAAUGGCUGGAUAUACUGGCGGUCUUGAGCGAUCUAGGGGCAGAUGGAACAAGUGGUGGAGCGGUGAAAUGCGUAGAUAUCUGGAGGAACACCGGUGGCGAAGGCGGCGACCUGGUCCUUGACUGACGCUGAGGCGCGAAAGCGUGGGGAGCAAACAGGAUUGAGAUACCC
rnacentral:rRNA from 1 species